rnacentral:rRNA from 1 species
GAAUCUUCCACAAUGGACGAAAGUCUGAUGGAGCGACGCCGCGUGGGGGAUGAAGGUUUUCGGAUCGUAAACCCCUUUUCUCAGGGAAGAGUAAGGACGGUACCUGAGGAAUAAGCAUCGGCUAACUACGUGCCAGCAGCCGCGGUAAUACGUAGGAUGCUAGCGUUGUCCGGAAUCACUGGGCGUAAAGGGUCCGUAGGCGGUUUGUUAAGUCUCCUGUGAAAACUUCGGGCUCAACCCGGAGAGGUCGGGGGAUACUGGCAAACUUGAGACUGUCAGGGGCAAGUGGAAUUCCCGGUGUAGUGGUGAAAUGCGUAGAUAUCGGGAGGAACACCAGUGGCGAAAGCGGCUUGCUGGGGCAGUUCUGACGCUGAGGGACGAAAGCGUGGGUAGCAAACCGG